AUUGAACGCUGGCGGCAUGCUUUACACAUGCAAGUCGAACGGUAACAGGUUAAGCUGACGAGUGGCGAACGGGUGAGUAAUGCAUCGGAACGUGCCCGGUCGUGGGGGAUAACGCAGCGAAAGCUGCGCUAAUACCGCAUACGAUCUGAGGAUGAAAGCGGGGGACCGUAAGGCCUCGCGCGAUCGGAGCGGCCGAUGUCAGAUUAGGUAGUUGGUGGGGUAAAGGCUCACCAAGCUAACGAGCUGUAGCUGGUCUGAGAGGACGACCAGCCAAACUGGGACUGAGACACGGCCCAGACUCCUACGGGAGGCAGCAGUGGGGAAUUUUGGACAAUGGGCGAAAGCCUGAUCCAGCAAUGCCGCGUGCAGGAAGAAGGCCUUCGGGUUGUAAACUGCUUUUGUACGGAGCGAAAAGGUCUCCUCUAAUACAGGGGGCUCAUGACGGUACCGUAAGAAUAAGCACCGGCUAACUACGUGCCAGCAGCCGCGGUAA
rnacentral:rRNA from 1 species